GGGCCCACAGGACAAGGGUCCUGUUGAGGGAACUUGGAAAGCAUCUGAUCCAGGACUCACCACACCGCAGAGAAACAUGAAGGUCGCAGUGCUCAGCAUGGCCCUGCUCUUCACCAUCCUGCUGUGCACCCCAGCAAAUGCUCAGGUAGUUAUAGAAGAGAGUGGAGAUUACCUGGACGGGGAACUCAAAAUAGAGGAAGGGAAGAAGCCUGAGGAACCUUACAAGGUGGUUCUCCGCCAGAAACGCCUGUCUGUAGGUCUUCAUGUCUAGGACCGGCAGUGAAGGUGACAUCCUUAUUGUGUCCCCCUCCAGCGGCAUGAGGAGAUGGUCAUCCCUGGAGGACCCCACCUGAUCCCCUGGGAGCCCUGGGCCAUUUCCCUCUCAUGAUCAAUAAACCCG
rnacentral:lncRNA from 14 species